GACGAACGCUGGCGGCGUGCUUAACACAUGCAAGUCGAACGGUGAAGCGCCUUCCUUUUUGGUGGGUGUGGAUGAGUGGCGAACGUGUGAGUAACACGUGCGUAACCUGCCCCCUUCUUCUGGAUAACCGCAUGAAAGCUUGUCUAAUACGGGAUAUUCUGGGUCUGUCGCUUGAUGGUUCUGGUAAAGAUCUUGUUUCGGUGGGGGAUGGGCUCGCGGCCUAUCAGAUUGUUGGUGGGGUGAUGGCCUCCCAAGGCGGUGACGGGUAGCCGGCCUGAGAGGGUGUAAGGUGCCACUGGGGCUGAGACACGGGCCAGAGACCUACGGGAGGCAGCAGUGGGGAAAAUUGCACGCUGGGCGCAAACCUGAUGCCGCGCAGCCGCGUGAGGGAUGGGGGCGUUUGGGUUGUGAAACUCUUUGGUCAGUGAAGCGAACCUGCCAUGGUUGUGAGUGGGUUGACGGUAGCUGGCUAAGAAGCGACGGCUAACUACGUG
rnacentral:rRNA from 1 species